rnacentral:tRNA from 1 species
GUCCCCUUAGACCAGUGGUGAGGAAGGCAGCUUCCUUGUAACUCGCAGGGCUAGACAUGGAAUGCGGGGGUUCGAAUCCCUCAGGGAGCA